CUACGGGAGGCUGCAGUGGGGAAUAUUGGACAAUGGGGGAAACCCUGAUCCAGCAAUGCCGCGUGGAGGAUGACACUUUUCGGAGCGUAAACUCCUUUUAUAUAGGAAGAAGAUGACGGUACUAUAUGAAUAAGCGCCGGCUAACUCCGUGCCAGCAGCCGCGGUAAUACGGAGGGCGCAAGCGUUACUCGGAAUCACUGGGCGUAAAGAGCGUGUAGGCGGAUUAAAAAGUCAGAAGUGAAAUCCUAUAGCUUAACUAUAGAACUGCUUCUGAAACUCUUAAUCUAGAAUAUGGGAGAGGUAGAUGGAAUUUCUGGUGUAGGGGUAAAAUCCGUAGAGAUCAGAAGGAAUACCGAUUGCGAAGGCGAUCUACUAGAACAUUAUUGACGCUGAGACGCGAAAGCGUGGGGAGCAAACAGGAUUAGAUACCCGCGUAGUC
rnacentral:rRNA from 1 species